CCCACAAAAUAUGUUCUUACAUUGCGAGAUACUAUAAAAGCCAUCAGUAAAAACGAUUGUCAUAUACCGUAUGUGAGCGCUCUAAGCAAGUAUGGACGUUACGAAGAAGUGCUUCAUGGCGCUUUUGUGCGUUUUGAUUCCAUGCCAUGGACACAUUGCCUUGAUUCAGUCUCUCAAGAUAACAGACUCGUCUGCUCCAGUUUUAAUGUCUAGAGACACGUGCGCCUUGUCUGACCUAGUGAAGCAAACUGGCGGUAACAUCAUCUUCUGUGAUAUUACCGAUGGCUCAACUGUCCCGAACAGCCGCUGGUGUGACACCACAAGCCAGGCAGAAAGCGGGCAUAAUACCCGCCUGACGUACUGGUGUGAAGACGGCGUCUGGCGGAUAGAAGUUGGGACUGGCAUUGACGUAGACAAAGGUUCUGUUCGAAACAAGCGGGCUAGCAUUGCUAAUGUCGCUGCCGGUUUCCAAAUUGCAAGCGCUGUUGCUAACCUUCGCUUCAGUCGGGGUUUCAAUUGCUUGUAUGUUCACAACGUGUAAUAAGGGUGCACAAGAAAGCAGACCAGCACCUCCAACGUUUGAAACGUGUCCCCCGGUUGAAAUUAAUGCCCAGACUUUCUACUAUGCGCCUCGAGGACAGAGUUCAGCGAUAGUGGUUUGGACUGAGCCUAAGGGUACAGGGACAGAGGUUCAGAGUUCAUUGUCUUGCUGCGGUAACUAUAAGAGUGGAGAUUCUUUCCUUGGCUCAUUUUCUGGUACAAACUACUUUAUGGCGUACACAGUAAAGGACAAACACGGGCAGAAGGAUUUUUGCUCGUUUACAUUCAGCGUUU